CCUACGGGGGGCAGCAGUGGGGAAUAUUGCACAAUGGGGGAAACCCUGAUGCAGCGACGCCGCGUGAGCGAUGAAGUAUUUCGGUAUGUAAAGCUCUAUCAGCAGGGAAGAAAAUGACGGUACCUGACUAAGAAGCCCCGGCUAACUACGUGCCAGCAGCCGCGGUAAUACGUAGGGGGCAAGCGUUAUCCGGAUUUACUGGGUGGAAAGGGGGCGUAGACGGUCCUGCAAGCCAGAUGUGAAAGCCCGGGGCGCAACCCCGGGACUGCAUUUGGAACUGUAAGGCUAGAGUGACGGAGAGGCAGGCGGAAUUCCUAGUGUAGCGGUGAAAUGCGUAGAUAUUAGGAGGAACACCAGUGGCGAAGGCGGCCUGCUGGACGAUGACUGACGUUGAGGCUCGAAAGCGUGGGGAGCAAACAGGAUUAGAUACCCCAGUAGUC
rnacentral:rRNA from 1 species